ACGGCCAGAGAUGGUCGCCCCCUUGUGGUCGGUGUACAGGUGGUGCAUGGUUGUCGUCAGCUCGUGUCGUGAGAUGUUGGGUUAAGUCCCGCAACGAGCGCAACCCUCGUUCUAUGUUGCCAGCGCGUUAUGGCGGGGACUCAUAGGAGACUGCCGGGGUCAACUCGGAGGAAGGUGGGGAUGACGUCAAAUCAUCAUGCCCCUUAUGUCUUGGGCUUCACGCAUGCUACAAUGGCCGGUACAAAGGGCUGCGAUACCGUAAGGUGGAGCGAAUCCCAAAAAGUCGGUCUCAGUUCGGAUUGAGGUCUGCAACUCGACCUCAUGAAGUCGGAGUCCCUAGUAAUCGCAAAUCAACCACCCUGCCGUGAAAACGUUCCCGGGUUUUUGUACACACCGAA
rnacentral:rRNA from 1 species